rnacentral:rRNA from 1 species
GACGAACGCUGGCGGCGUGCUUAACACAUGCAAGUCGAACGGAAAGGCCCUGCUUUUGUGGGGUGCUCGAGUGGCAACGGGUGAGUAACACGUGAGUAACCUGCCCUUGACUUUGGGAUAACUUCAGGAAACUGGGGCUAAUACCGGAUAGGAGCUCCUGCUGCAUGGUGGGGGUUGGAAAGUUUCGGCGGUUGGGGAUGGACUCGCGGCUUAUCAGCUUGUUGGUGGGGUAGUGGCUUACCAAGGCUUUGACGGGUAGCCGGCCUGAGAGGGUGACCGGCCACAUUGGGACUGAGAUACGGCCCAGACUCCUACGGGGGGCAGCAGUGGGGAAUAUUGCACAAUGGGCGGAAGCCUGAUGCAGCAACGCCGCGUGCGGGAUGACGGCCUUCGGGUUGUAAACCGCUUUCGCCUGUGACGAAGCGUGAGUGACGGUAAUGGGUAAAGAAGCACCGGCUAACUACGUG